rnacentral:rRNA from 1 species
UACAGAGGGUGCAAGCGUUGUUCGGAAUUAUUGGGCGUAAAGCGCGUGUAGGCGGCUUUGCAAGUCGGGUGUGAAAGCCCUCGGCUCAACCGAGGAAGUGCGCCCGAAACUGCAGAGCUUGAGUACCGGAGAGGAUGGCGGAAUUCCCCAAGUAGAGGUGAAAUUCGUAGAUAUUGGGAAGAACACCGGUGGCGAAGGCGGCUAUCUGGACCGACAUUGACGCUGAGGCGCGAAAGCGUGGGGAGCAAACAGG